rnacentral:rRNA from 1 species
UGGUGGAGCGAUUUGUCUGGUUAAUUCCGAUAACGAACGAGACUCUGGCCUAUUAAAUAGUUCGCCGAUUCCGAUCUGUCGGCGUUAACUUCUUAGAGGGACAAGUGGCUUUUAGCCACGCGAGAUUGUGCAAUAACA